rnacentral:rRNA from 1 species
GAUGAACGCUAGCGGCAGGCUUAACACAUGCAAGUCGAGGGGUAGAGGAAGCUUGCUUCCUUGAGACCGGCGCACGGGUGCGUAACGCGUAUACAAUCUACCUUUUACAGAGGGAUAGCCCAGAGAAAUUUGGAUUAAUACCUCAUAGUGUUAUUAGAUGGCAUCAUUUGAUAACUAAAGUUCCAACGGUAAAGAUGGGCAUGCGUCCUAUUAGCUAGAUGGUAAGGUAACGGCUUACCAAGACAAUGAUGGGUAGGGUCCUGAGAGGGAGAUCCCCCACACUGGUACUGAGGCACGGACCAGACUCCUACGGGAGGCAGCAGUGAGGAAUAUUGGACAAUGGGCGCAAGCCUGAUCCAGCCAUGCCGCGUGCAGGAUGACGGUCCUAUGGAUUGUAAACUGCUUUUAUACAGGAAGAAACACUACUUCGUGAAGUAGCUUGACGGUACUGUAAGAAUAAGGAUCGGCUAACUCCGUGCCAGCAGCCG